GACGAACGCUGGCGGCGUGCCUAAUACAUGCAAGUAGAACGCUGAAGGAGGAGCUUGCUUCUCUGGAUGAGUUGCGAACGGGUGAGUAACGCGUAGGUAACCUGCCUGGUAGCGGGGGAUAACUAUUGGAAACGAUAGCUAAUACCGCAUAAUAGUAGAUGUUGCAUGACAUUUGCUUAAAAGGUGCAAUUGCAUCACUACCAGAUGGACCUGCGUUGUAUUAGCUAGUUGGUGGGGUAACGGCUCACCAAGGCGACGAUACAUAGCCGACCUGAGAGGGUGAUCGGCCACACUGGGACUGAGACACGGCCCAGACUCCUACGGGAGGCAGCAGUAGGGAAUCUUCGGCAAUGGACGGAAGUCUGACCGAGCAACGCCGCGGGAGUGAAGAAGGUUUUCGGAUCGUAAAGCUCUGUUGUAAGAGAAGAACGAGUGUGAGAGUGGAAAGUUCACACUGUGACGGUAGCUGACCAGAAAGGGACGGCUAACUACGUG
rnacentral:rRNA from 1 species